rnacentral:misc_RNA from 1 species
GCUAGCUGCCGUGUACACGGUAUCCAUGUGACCGCCAAGCAAUACUUGAAUGGGGGCCAAGGGGUGUUUGCGUAGUCUGAGAGCUUUACCUAGUGGUUCUUGUACGAUGUGUC